ACCUACCUCCUUCAGCCGGUUCAGCUGUCAUCCUCCGCAGGUCUGCCAGGGGACAAAACCCCGGAAUCAGGCGGCCUCGCCACCCCCUCCCACCCCGCCCUCACCCCAACUCCACAAACGCCCGCGAGGACCAUCCUGACAAACUCCAAAGGCUAGAGUACCAGAAGCCAUUAUUUUUAACCCUCUGGUUGCCCCGGCAACGCAGCCUGCCGUCACUGGUUUCCAGGGUAACCAGGGAGGAAGGACUCCCUGCCUGGAGGGCAGCAUCUCUGAUGGGGAGGGAAAGCACCGGGGCCGAGAGGAAGGGUGACUGCCGGGAAGCCCCUUUCUGAGCAGCUGGGCACUCUCCGCGCUGCGGCAUGUGGAUGAGGGGCGGGGCUGGGACCCCCGCCGCUUCCUGUUCCCCAACCUCCGGUCCAUUGGAUCCCAGGACCCUGGAUUUCCAGCUGGGAAGGACAGACUUCAGGGCCUUUCAUUUGACCCAUGAGAAACAGGCCCAGAGCAGACCAAUGGCUCGCCCUGGGUGACACAGCUCAGAGCAGAAGUGGAAUUCGAAUGCAAGCCCUGGCACUGUUCAGCCCUCUG